UAACACGUAAGCAACCUACCCUAAAGACGAGGAUAACCAUUGGAAACAGUGGCUAAGACUGGAUAGGAAGAAAUAAGGCAUCUUAUUUCUUUUAAAAGACCUAGUAAUAGGUAUACUUUAGGAGGGGCUUGCGCCAUAUUAGUUAGUUGGUAGGGUAAUGGCCUACCAAGACGAUGAUGUGUAGCUGGACUGAGAGGUUGAACAGCCACAUUGGGACUGAGACACGGCCCAAACUCCUACGGGAGGCAGCAGUAAGGAAUUUUCGGCAAUGGAGGAAACUCUGACCGAGCAACGCCGCGUGAACGACGAAGUACUUUGGUAUGUAAAGUUCUUUUAUCAAGGAAGAAAAGCAAGUGGCGAACCAUUUGUUUGCCGGUACUUGAUGAAUAAGCCCCGGCUAAUUAUGUGCCAGCAGCCGCGGUAAGACAUAAGGGGCAAGUGUUAUCCGGAAUUAUUGGGCGUAAAGGGUGCGUAGGCGGUCUAGUAAGUCAGUGGUGUAAUGGCAACGCUCAACGUUGUCCGGCUAUUGAAACUGCUAAACUUGAGUUAGAUAGAGGCGAGUGGAAUUCCAUGUGUAGCGGUAAAAUGCGUAAAUAUAUGGAGGAACACCAGAGGCGUAGGCGGCUCGCUGGGUCUUAACUGACGCUGAGGCACGAAAGCGUGGGGAGCAAACAGGAUUAGAUACCCUGGUAGUCCACGCCGUAAACGAUGAGUACUAAGUGUCGGGUUAAACCGGUACUGAAGUUAACACAUUAAGUACUCCGCCUGAGUAGUACGUACGCAAGUAUGAAACUUAAAGGAAUUGACGGGACUCCGCACAAGCGGUGGAUCAUGUUGUUUAAUUCGAAGAUACCCGAAAAACCUUACCAGGUCUUGACAUGUUUUUGCGAAACGGUAGUAAUAUCGUAGAGGUUAUCAGAAACACAGGUGGUGCAUGGUUGUCGUCAGCUCGUGUCGUGAGAUGUUAGGUUAAGUCCUAAAACGAGCGAAACCCUUAUCGUUAGUUGCCAGCACGUUAUGGUGGGGACUUUAACGAGACUGCCAGUGAUAAACUGGAGGAAGGUGAGGAUCACGUCAAAUCAGCAUGCCCCUUAUGACCUGGGCUACAAACGUGAUACAAUGGCUGUUACAAAGGGUAGCUGAAACGUAAGUUCUUGGCCAAUCCCCAAAAACAGUCUCAGUCCGGAUUGAAGUCUGCAACUCGACUUCAUGAAGUUGGAAUCGCUAGUAAUCGCGAAUCAGCAUGUCGCGGUGAAUACGUUCUCGGGGUUUGUACACACCGCCCGUCAAACCACGAAAGUUGGCAAUACCCCAAAAUGGUAGCCUAACUCG
rnacentral:rRNA from 1 species